UACGUAGGGUGCAAGCGUUGUCCGGAAUUAUUGGGCGUAAAGAGCUCGUAGGCGGUUUGUCACGUCUGCUGUGAAAACUGGAGGCUCAACCUCCAGCUUGCAGUGGGUACGGGCAGACUAGAGUGCGGUAGGGGAGAUUGGAAUUCCUGGUGUAGCGGUGGAAUGCGCAGAUAUCAGGAGGAACACCGAUGGCGAAGGCAGGUCACUGGGCCGCAACUGACGCUGAGGAGCGAAAGCAUGGGGAGCGAACAGG
rnacentral:rRNA from 1 species